GGCGGCGGACGGUUGAGUAACACUUGGGCGACCUGCCUCAUAGAGGGGAAUAGCCUCCCGAAAGGGAGAUUAAUACCGCAUAAUAUUGUGGCUUCGCAUGAAGUAGCAAUUAAAGGAGCGAUCCGCUAUGAGAUGGGCUCGCGGCGCAUUAGCUAGUUGGUGGGGUAACGGCUCACCAAGGCGACAAUGCGUAGCCGACCUGAGAGGGUGAUCGGUCACAUUGGGACUGAAACACGGCCCAAACUCCUACGGGAGGCAGCAGUGGGGAAUAUUGCACAAUGGGGGAAACCCUGACGCAGCAACGCCGCGUGAGUGAUGACGGCCUUCUGGUUGUAAAGCUCUGACUUCAGGGACGAUAAUGACGGAACCUGAGGAGGAAGCCACGGCUAACUACGUGCCAGCAGCCGCGGUGAUACGUAUGUGGCGAGCGUUGUCCGGAUUUACUGGGCGUAAAGGGAGCGUAGGCGGACUUUUAAGUGAGAUGUGAAAUACCCGGGCUCAACUUGAGUGCUGCAUUUCAGACUGGAAGUCUAGAGUGCAGGAUACGAGAAUGGAAUUUCCUAGUGUAUCGGUGUAAUGCGUAGAGCUGGUGAAGAACGCCAGUGUCGAGAGGCGAUUCUCUGGACUGUAACUGACGCUGAGGCUCGCAAAGCGUGGAGGAGCUAAACAUGGAUUAGAUACCCUGGGUAGUCAACAGCGCUAAACUGAUGGAGUACUAGGUGC
rnacentral:rRNA from 1 species